AUCAUUCGGUACCGCCAUAGAGCCACUCGAUCCAUUCCCAGCACAAUCCAGUUCCUCUUCUACGGGACCCAGUUCCACUCAUGAUGGAUCCAGACUACAUUAAAAGGUACAAAAGACUAAACUCAUAUACCUUUGCAGGUGCAUCCUCUUUGGAAGAGGUCGAAUAUUGGUUAACUGAGACAAAGAAGGCCUUUGCGACUCCUGGGGUGAUUUCUAAACAGAAUGUUGUACUUACCACCUACAUGCUUGUGGG
rnacentral:lncRNA from 1 species